rnacentral:rRNA from 1 species
AUUGAACGCUGGCGGCAGGCCUAACACAUGCAAGUCGAGCGGAUGAAGUGAUCUUGCUCCUGUAUUCAGCGGCGGACGGGUGAGUAAUGCCUAGGAAUCUGCCUGGUAGUGGUGGAUAACGUCCGUAAACGGGUUCUAAUACCGCAUACGUCCUUAGUGAGAAAGUGGGGGAUCUUCUGACCUCACGCUAUCAGAUGAGCCUAGGUCGGAUUAGCUAGUUGGUUGGGUAAAGGCCUACCAAGGCGACUAUCCGUAACUGGUCUGAGAGGAUGAUCAGUCAAACUGAAAAUGAGAAACGGUAAAGAGACCUAGGGGAGGCAGAAGUGGGGAAAAUUGGAAAAAGGGGGAAAGACUGAACAAGAAAUGCAGGGAGGGCGAAGAGGUCUUCGGAGUGUAAAGAACUUUAAGUUGGGAGGAAGGGAAGUAAGUUAAUAAAAUGAUGGAAUGACGUUAAUAAAAGAAAAAGAAACGGCUAACUUCGUG